GCGAAGGGGGGACGGAGAAGGCUAUGUUGGCCGGGCGACGGUUGUCCCGGUUUAAGCAUGUAGGCGGAUGUUCCAGGUAAAUCCGGAACGUUACUAACGCUGAGGUGUGAUGACGAGGCACUACGGUGCUGAAGUGACAAAUGCCCUGCUUCCAGGAAAAGCCUCUAAGCAUCAGGUAACAUCAAAUCGUACCCCAAACCGACACAGGUGGUCAGGUAGAGAAUACCAAGGCGCUUGAGAGAACUCGGGUGAAGGAACUAGGCAAAAUGGUGCCGUAACUUCGGGAGAAGGCACGCUGAUGGUAAGUGAAGUGACUUGCUCAUGGAGCUGAAAUCAGUCGAAGAUACCAGCUGGCUGCAACUGUUUAUUAAAAACACAGCACUGUGCAAACACGAAAGUGGACGUAUACGGUGUGACGCCUGCCCGGUGCCGGAAGGUUAAUUGAUGGGGUUAUCCUC
rnacentral:rRNA from 1 species